GCUGGCGGCUGCUAACACAUGCAGUCGAACGCGAAAGGGUCCUUCGGGAUCUGAGUAGAGUGGCGUCCGGGUGAGUAACGCGUAGAUCAUCUACCUUCGGGUGGGGAAUAACUCAGGGAAACUUGAGCUAAUACCGCAUAACAUCGAAAGAUCAAAGCAGGGGAUCGCAAGACCUUGCGCCUGAAGAGGAGUCUGCGUCUGAUUAGCUAGUUGGUAAGGUAAUGGCUUACCAAGGCUUCGAUCAGUAGCUGGUCUGAGAGGACGGCCAGCCACAUUGGCACUGAAACACGGGCCAAACUCCUACGGGAGGCAGCAGUGGGGAAUUUUGGGCAAUGGGCGAAAGCCUGACCCAGCAAUGCCGCGUGAACGAUGAAGUCCUUCGGGAUGUAAAGUUCGGAAGUAAGGAACGAAAAGCUUUGGGAUAAUACCCCCAAGUGCUGACGGUACCUUAUCUAAGCCCCGGCUAACUACGUGCCAGCAGCCGCGGUAAUACGGGGGGAGCAAGCGUUGUUCGGAUUUACUGGGCGUAAAGGGCGCGUAGGCGGCCACCGCAAGUCAGUUGUGAAAUCUCCGGGCUUAACUCGGAAAGGUCAACUGAUACUGCGGGGCUAGAGUGCGGAAGGGGCAACUGGAAUUCUCGGUGUAGCGGUGAAAUGCGUAGAUAUCGAGAGGAACACCUGCGGCGAAGGCGGGUUGCUGGGCCGACACUGACGCUGAGGCGCGAAAGCUAGGGGAGCGAACAG
rnacentral:rRNA from 1 species